ensembl:misc_RNA 7SK 7SK RNA
AGAUGAGAAUGCAACCAAGCUGUGGUGUCUCUUGCCAGCGUUGGUUUCUGUGAUCUUACUGGAUAGGCAGAUAUCCAUUUUGUCCUUCAUCACUCCAUGUAAUUCCCUCAGAAGCUUCUCUGCUACCAUUGAAGAACAAAGCCUUCCACAAAUAGAGGAGAACUGGUCUUUGGUCAAGGGUAGAGCAGUAUCUGUGCUCCCCUGCUAUAAACUCCAAACAAUCUCUUAUGGUUAUGGUGUUUUAUCACAGCAGCAGAUAAUGAUAAUAACCAAUAAAGAACAUGCACCUACUAUGACAUGAUUGUAACAGUU